AUUGAACGCUGGCGGCAGGCCUAACACAUGCAAGUCGAGCGGAUGACGGGAGCUUGCUCCUUGAUUCAGCGGCGGACGGGUGAGUAAUGCCUAGGAAUCUGCCUGGUAGUGGGGGACAACGUUUCGAAAGGAACGCUAAUACCGCAUACGUCCUACGGGAGAAAGCAGGGGACCUUCGGGCCUUGCGCUAUCAGAUGAGCCUAGGUCGGAUUAGCUAGUUGGUGGGGUAAUGGCUCACCAAGGCGACGAUCCGUAACUGGUCUGAGAGGAUGAUCAGUCACACUGGAACUGAGACACGGUCCAGACUCCUACGGGAGGCAGCAGUGGGGAAUAUUGGACAAUGGGCGAAAGCCUGAUCCAGCCAUGCCGCGUGUGUGAAGAAGGUCUUCGGAUUGUAAAGCACUUUAAGUUGGGAGGAAGGGCAGUAAGUUAAUACCUUGCUGUUUUGACGUUACCGACAGAAUAAGCACCGGCUAACUCUGUGCCAGCAGCCGCGGUAAUACAGAGGGUGCAAGCGUUAAUCGGAAUUACUGGGCGUAAAGCGCGCGUAGGUGGUUUGUUAAGUUGGAUGUGAAAGCCCCGGGCUCAACCUGGGAACUGCAUCCAAAACUGGCAAGCUAGAGUACGGUAGAGGGUGGUGGAAUUUCCUGUGUAGCGGUGAAAUGCGUAGAUAUAGGAAGGAACACCAGUGGCGAAGGCGACCACCUGGACUGAUACUGACAC
rnacentral:rRNA from 3 species